AGUCUUCCCCUCAUUUAUGGCUUUGGUGACUGUUUUGAAGAAGACUGCCAAGUUUAGCAGGCAUGAUCUCCCUGUCAGCUUGUCAGUUAGUGAAAGGGCCUUGUGCUGGGGCCCUGCAUGUUAUCAGCUGGCUGUCAUAGCCACACUACAAUUUUGGGUUUCCUGACUUUAAAUUAUAUCAGGGGCAUAUACUUAUGUGCAUCACUGGUCCAGUUCAUUUUACUUUUGGUUACUGGGCUGUGUGAUUCCUUAGAUUUUCUAGUUUACAGAGUAGUUUUGGCAAAAAGAAAAUAAUAAGCACAGAAUUUUUUUUUAUUUUGAAUUUUAGAGAUUAUCUGAGUUGUAUUAACAAGUCCCAGAAGUAUAAAUAUACAUGUAACCAGGUAGUGCUUCAUUAACAAAAGUUAAUUCUUGGUGGUUUCAACUGAGAACAUUCAAUUCCAGCAUCCAAGUAUGUCUAUGCUGUUACUGUCACAGAAUGGUGUGUUUGUUUUCCCCAGUGUUUUUCAUUUUCUGUGAAUGUAAAACAAUUUCUCUUAUUUUGUCUAAAACCAACCCUUGUUUGCAGACAAAUGUCUUUGUCCAUUACUUUCCCAUCGGUACCAACUGCUGAUAAAAAAAAAUAAAAAAUGACACGCAUUGACAAGUUAGAUGUCUGACAUUGCCUCAUCCCAGUCAUAAUGUGUGACUCAAUCAUAAUGUGUGACUCAAGUUGUACCAACACUAUUCUGACCAUUGUCAAAUUUCAAAGAAAGACUCUUACUUACCACAUGUCUAAGUGAGUGGCAGAUUGUGUUAAUACCUCCAGUCUUCUUUUUUAGAGUGGUGACUUCUUGUCAUAUCCCUAAAGUAUUCCAAGUCUUGCCAUUCUGUCCAGUUUAGUCCAUAUUACUUCAAAAUCCUACAUUUGCCAUUGUUCAGAGGUCUGUACACUUGUAUAAAAUACAGUAAUAUACAGUUUAUGAAGUAGUUACACCAGUGGUUUGUGUAUGCUGUCAGAAGCAAGCAUAACCAAGAAGGUCCUGAGUGCUGAUUUGAAGACUUGUAUAUAAUUCAUUUUGCAUGAGCUCUUCCUUUAUUGAUAGUAUGUUAUGCCUGCCUAACCUGUGUUUUAGUUGCAUUUAGCAUUGUCGUAACUCCCCUCUAUCCCUACCUUCCAUAUCCCUCUGUCUCUGUUGUUCCCAUGUCUUCUGUGGAUUCUUACUCCUUCACCUGUUUCAUUAGUCAAGUCAGCAUUAAUGUAAACAUGUAGGGAUCCUUCAUACUGAAAUACUGCCUUCCUUGUUCCUGUGUGACUGGCUUAUAUUGCCAUUGAUAUCUUGUCGUUGCCAGAGAUCAUUUGUCAGUAGAGGCUCUCUUGUUUUCAAAUACGCUAUGCUUGAAGCUUUGUUGGUCCUAUUUAUGUCCAAAAUGCCUUUAAAUUCUUGGGUUCCUCUUGUGCUGCCUCUCACAGAAUAUAUGAUUUUCAGUAGUUCAGCUAUCAACAGUGCCUGUUUACAGUAUAGCAUAGCAUGGACCAGCAGCUUCUUAAGUCACUAGUGCCUUUUGGCAGUAGGUCCUCAUCAGUAAACCACAAAUAGAGCUCUUUAACAUCAUUAAAGCCAUUAGCAGGAAGUAUCAUGUAAUACAGGAAUAACCAGUUAAUCUUAGUACUAGUAUAAUCUUAAAAACUCAACAACUUUGUGCAGUGCAAAUAAAGCAGUUCCACGGUGUAGUUGGGUUAUUGGUGCUGUUUCCUGAGUGUGCAAAAUACAUGCCGUCUUGUCGUGUUUCAUCCAAAAUGUAGGCAUAUGUAGAUUUUCAUUCUUAGGUUCUUGAUAUUGGCUUUGGGCCUACACUAGUGGUUUUGCAUAUCUAAUACAUUCGUGUAGUAUCUGUGCAUAUCUGCAGUGAUUCAGCACAUCCUGAAUGAGAGAGAAACGGCUUCAUCAGAGACCGAGUGCUGAAAGUCUUUUGAGAGGCAUAUCUCCAAACAUUUUUUUCAGCAAAAUGUGCAACACGAAUUGAGCAAGCAAUGAAACUUAAAACUAAAAGCACUGAAUGCAGUGGAAUAAAGCACAGCAACAUUUAUACUGUUUGUAUAGCACAGACUAUCAUGACGGUUACUGAGGAUAGUUAUAAGUUUGUUUAAAAAUGCCAAAUAUCAGUCUAUGAAAUUACCUUUUUCCCCUGUAGUACGUAUUUUGUAGUUAAAAUGUGUUAAUACCUAAUGAUGCCAUAUUUGAGAGGUAUGGUCAUGGAACAGUCAGAUUUUAGCAUUAACCAGAAGCUCACAAAAUUUACAGUACAACAGUUUCUGGAAUGGUGCUGGAUGUUAGCGUGUAGCAUACUUGUGGGCACAUUUCUGUUCAGCAGUUGCAUAUGUUUAGUCACCCAGUUGUACAUUGGAAGGCAGAGCCAUAGCUCUGUCACUUGGUGCCCUCUUUGGCAGUCUUCAGACUGACACCUCCUCCUCAACCAAAAGUUCAGUACAAAUAAAAAAAAAUGUCUUCCAUAUUUAAAGACCAAAAGAAAAAAAAAAUAUUUUUGAAGAUGACUAAAAAAAAAUUUUGAACUUUAACAGGAGGUUUAUACGAGUUCCAUGCUACAGUUAAGCUGCUUUUGCUUAUAUCAACACUGGCACUUCCCUUGCAUUGGAUCAGCAGCUGUUUACAACUGCCAAUCAUGCCAUCUGACAGUUUGCACACAGGGCAGUUCCCCCAUUCACCCCACCCUAAUUACAAUCCUGUUUGUAUGACUAUUCUUGGUUGUGUUGUCUCAUGUAUGCAUCUCUUGCAAAUGUUCCUAUGACUCAGUUUCACACAAAGAUAUGCAGUUUACUGUGCGGUAUUAGGACAUUGUGGUAUUAAGUCAUUAUGUAUGACUCUUGGAGAGAACCAGAGUGGUACUCAAAUUGUACAUGCAUCUUCCAAAGUACUAAUUUUCACAUGGAAUCUCAUUUUUGGACCUCACAAAAUGAGUCUUCUGUGUUGUAUGGAGAGCACACCUGGUUGUUCUACUGACAUUUCUUAAGAUCAGACAACAAAUGCAUCUGCAUAUUAAUCCAUUUAAGAAGAGAAUCAUGCUUUAUUCUGUUCAGACCUCCAAAUUAACCUACGCCAUAGGUGGGAUUUGGUGAAGGACUGUUAAAGAAAAAUGCAGCAGUCCCCCUCCAACACACACACACACACACACACACAUACACAAUGUGAUUCUAAAUUGAAACCUGUAUUUGGAGGUUUAGCAUGCUGUCCUAUUGUGUAGCACUGUAGUGGACCAAUUCUAGUGUCAUACAGGUCCAAAAAUAUAUUGCUGACCGCUCAGUACCUUUGCUCCUUCUUCCAAGUUAUAUUCUUUGCCAUUCCCUGCUAUGUACACAUUAAGGCUGAACUUGUCUUGGCAGUGUGGCACCCCGUAUGAACUUUGUCACACUCUUUGCAUGUUAAUCUUGAUACUCUAGUUCUUGCCUGGCAGUCAGAAUUGCUAGUUCACUUAAUGGCAAGGCAGAGUUCUCAAGAGGUGAGCCUGUCAGAGAGCUGACAAUAGAGACUAGUGGCUUACUCUUUGUUUUUGGCCUACCUAUCUGCAUGUGCUGGUGUCUUGUGGCGGUUGAGCUAAGCAAUCAGCCGUGAUUUACUGGGAGUGGUCUUGCACCAACCAUGUCAUCCCUUGACCCUUACCCUUGGAAGGUAGAGAGCCAACUCUAACUGGUGCCUGAUCCAUUAGUUCAAAGUGGAUUGCCCGAGUCUUAGCUUUAUCCCUGUAUGCUAGCAAAGCUCGCAUCAUUUUCCCACCUUAAUCCAGGUUGUACUGAGCCCCCAAGUGUCCAGACAUGUAUGAUACAUCUGUCAUGGAUUGCAUUUUCUCUAUACCCAUUAAGCUGUCACUGUGGCCACCUCUUCAAUUUCAUUGUGGUAGAAUCUGUUAUACUAUAUGUAAAUAUCAAAAAUUUCAUUCAUGUAUUAUGCAUAGUAUUAGCUAUUGUCUUCCGAUGCCUGCUGGGAAGUCUUCAAGAAUCUCCAGUUUGGAGAAGGGGAAACAAGUUGCCCUUAGGUUUUCCAGUUGAUGGUGGUUAGUCCAUUUCUAGAGGUUUCCUCUGCUAUAUUUUGAAGCCCCAUUUGUUGGCCAUUGCAGCCUGCCAUGGAGCAAGUGUCAGUAGAGUGGUUUGAAAAGGUUCAGACUUUCUACCUGAGUAUUCCACCUUUAAAAUUCUCUUUCUGUUCCCCAUUUUUAUCUUGGGGACCCAAGUUAUAUUUUGAAGUGGUAAAAACUUCCCUGUUUUGAGAUGACCUUGUAUGGCUGCAAUGUCCUCAUCUCUUAUUUGACAGACUCACAUUUUGCAUUGUGUAUAGGUUUUCCUUAGUCCUUAUAGGAAUGGGAAUCUCAGUGUGCGCCAAGUUUUGUUUGAGUAAUAUGUAAGUCUAUCCUGUGAUAAAGUGUGCAUUUCUCUGUAGAUUAUUUGGACCUGAAUGUAAUUCUGAAAUAUCUUCUAACUGGGACUUCAGCAGUAAGUCAUUUUUAACGGGUCGCAUUGGAGGGAAAAAUGAACUUGGAGAGCAGGUGAAUUUAAUUCCUUAACAGAUUUGCUAAAAAAGGAGCUUUGAUGCUAUAAGGAAGUUAAACAGGUGAAAAGCUGUUUCCAUUUAGUGACUCAGAGAGAUCUGAAUACAGUAGAUAUGUAAUAUUUUCUUCUGUCAAAGGAAGAGUUUAUGGGUUGUGAAAUAUUGUAGCUAAGUGUGAUAAACAGACCUGGAAUGCAUUUUAGCCGAGUAGUUCUCAAAAUCAUUUUCCCUAAAAGUGUUAAAGCAUUAGGGACCUUCUCCAUCCUAGAGGUUUCUAAGAGACUCCAGAAUCACUCAUUUGUGACUGGUGCUCUACCCUAGUUAACAAAUUCAAACAAACUUUUGUCCAAAAAAAUCAUUUACAUAUUCUGGAAGUUUUUGCAGCACAAUUGUCUGAAGUGUCAUUAUCAAUAGAAAUAGUUGGCUCUUUUUUGAUUCUAAUCAGGCUGGUCAGGAUAUAAAAUUGCUGUGCUGAAUUUGUUCGGUUUGUCUGGAGUUCAUAACUGACAUGCUGUGACCCUGGAGAAAACAGAAAAAUAACAAAGAAAUUACUUCCACAAUAAAAAUGCAUCUUCAUGUGGAUCAUGGUCAACAGGUUUGCUUUCUUUCCUCUAGCCCAGUUGUUACUGGAUUUCUUUUUCCAAAAGUUCUUACUGGUGUUUUAUUUGACAUAUUUUUGUUCCAAUUCAGUACUGUCUCAUUGAGCCAGCUGCAUGAAAGAACUGUAAAGAAAGUGACCAUCCUGCCCUUUAUUUCACUUGCUAUGUGAUCGUGCAAAUGUGGUAUAAUAAGGUAAUGGUCCCUAAGCACUUGCAUAUAUAUUCUGUCUUUACUGGAUAUGCUGAAUCUAGACUUUUCACAUGACAGUUGAUCUUAACAGUGGGGAACGCUCUUCACUUGAUCUUUCUACUCCAAUUUGGCCUGUUUUUCUCAAAAGCUACCGUGGUCAGGGCUGUAAGUACCCCCUGCCAGUGUGUAUUAUGACAUCACUUGCCACAGAAGAGCAAUUCUGACCCCAGAGCCAGCUACUACUUUUCUUUGCUUGAACAGUUUAAACCUAAGUCUUGUUAUUCACAUUGCAGAAGUUCUGAUAUUCAAUAGCUAAAGCAGGUAAGCUGUUAAGGUUAUUCAUCUGGAUGUCAAAUGAGCUAGGAGUUGCGCUAGUAUUCUCACUAGUGCAUGGAAAUGGAACUUAUGUGAGGCACUUUCAUAUGUGUCUGCUUUGAAUCUGGCCACCUGGAAAUUCCAGAAGAAUCUGUUCUGUUUUGCUGCUGAAAGGAUUGUGAUGGUUAAGAGAGACCAGUCUGUGAAGGGAUAUGCAGUAGGGUCUUAAUCCAGCAGCCCCAGACCUAUGAAAGUAUGUUGUCUAAAGACAAAGGAAAUGGGGGGCAGCUAUUAUUCACACCCUCCUGAAGGAAUGUCCAUUGCCAAAAUGGUCUUACUGGCUUACAUUAUGAGGACUUCAUCCUCAGAUAUUAAGGACACAAGAUUGCACCUAUGUUCCACCUCUGCAAAAGACAAAAGGUCAUUGAGAGGUACAAUCUCAGCAACCACCUUGAGGGUGUAAUUCUUAGAUGUAAGCGCCUCCAAUCCCUGAUUCAAUGGGCAGAAUAUAGUCAUGGCCAUUCUGUUCCUGAGAUAUGUGGUUCCUAGUAUCCUGGAGUGGAUAAUGUGGUUGCACUUAAGAAGCAGGGCUCUUCUCCUUAAGCUUCCUGUAGGGUUUUUGUUGUAGGUCUCUGAUUUCAGGCCUUUGUGCGAGAUCUAAUGGGAUUGGUAUUCUUUGGUAUGGAAAAUUAGUAGGAUUGGUAGCCUGAUAUCAGCACUAAAUUAUGUGGAGUGCUGCCCUGUCCCAAUGUGAUCUGAGGCAAGCACAUCUCUGUACACUAGUCCUUUGAUGCCUGAAAGUCAUUGCACUUUUUUAAAGUCCACACAUAUUUGAUCCUAAAAAUGCCAGCUUGUCAUUAAGAAUGACAUUUAUGUAGCCUUUUAGGUAUACAGUCUUCUUGUCUCCUAACAAGGUAGAUUCCCUUUACAAGCCCUGUAUGAGUGAAUGGAAUCCUAUCCAGGUGACCAUGACAAGACUCAUGAUCCCUUUCAUCCAGCAUUGGCCAAUAAAGAUUGUGGAAUCUGGCUACCUUAUCACACUUGGGACUAUGGACUGUUUUCCUCAGGCCUCCCACAAGUUCCAUCAAGGUUCAGUGAUCAGUACUUUCUUGGCUAAUACCUGGUACCUACCCAUCACAUGUUCAUUCACACACUGUCCAUCUGCUUGAAAUGGUGGUAGCUCAGUUGGAUGUAAAUAGGUCCACAGCACCUGUCAAAAAGAGUGGGGAAAGUUCCCAGAUGUCCUGACCAGGUUUAUUGUAUUAGUAUAAAUACCACCUUGAGACUCCCCUGAAGAGAGGCCACUAGCCUAGUGGUAAGAAUCUAGUGAACAAAAAGAAUAAAUAAAUAAAUGUACUUGCACAUUAACCAUGCAGAAACGCACCCAUUCUGAAGGUAGAAGAGGCUUGGUGUCUGUCUUUUUUUUUUUUUGGACUACUGUGAUAAGUCAAGGGAUGUUGAAAUCUAAGACAGAUAAAUAUGUUCUUAACUCCUCUUGAUCCCUCCUGAAGUCCAGUGAUGGCAUUGUAGCUCUUAUUCAUCCUCCUUCCCAAAAUGUUUUAGGUACACAGAAAAGGGAAAGAGUCAUCGUCCUGGGUUUUCCCCAUGGAUUCCCUCAUUAAGGAUAUAAUUUAUGCCAAGAAACGCCCAGGUUCCCCUUCCAAAGUUCCAGAGAUGGUGGUUGCCCUAUUUUAGUCACUGGUAAGUAGCUGAGAGGCUGAGCAAGCAUCAUAGAGUGAACCUUUGCCGGGGGACUCCAAUCUGGAAGGGGCCUAGAGGCUGCAACAUUAUGCCGCCUUACCAUUUUUCAAGGAGUCUGAAGUAUCUGACAGGUUAUACAGGGUGAUGUCUUUCUUUGAUACAUUUGAGUAAAUUCCUUUAACUAUUUGUUCCAUCUGACCAGGUUUAAGUUCUCCCUGGUGGAUCAAGUACUAGAAAAUAUUUUAACCCUUAUUGAUUGUAGGUUCAAGGAACAGCUGAUCUUGGCUCCAUGUACAGUAUCCACAGUGUAGUAUCAUGUGGCUCAGUGUACAUUUUGACUGUGCUGGUGGUAUGAUUAGGUUAGCAGGUUCAUACAUGUGUCUGCACAGAGGCAGCAUGAUUGAUGCUGUUCUGACCAAAGGAGGAGCAUAGCCCUGUAUGGCGGGAGAUUUUCUUCAGGCAACCUUCGUAGAACAUGGUGGAAACAACUCCUUGUCCCCUAUUGAAGGUUUUUACAACCCUUGCUUAUUCCCCUACUUUUUGAGAUCCAGCUAAUUCCUGCAAGAAGAAGCCCCCUUGCAGUCUUAUCCUUCUCACCCCCCAGUGUCAUUUGAGUAUAGAGGGAAAAAGAUUUUAGCAUCCCAGCAGUCCUGAUUGGUCAUUUAGGGCUGCCAUUGGGAGGGCUGUUCCUUAAGCUUAUCUGUCUUGGAGAGCUGUUAUGAACCAUUUAGUUCUCAGGAUGGUUACAGAUGGCCACAUCUUAGAGCUUUUAGGUUCUCCCUUAGAAAAGGUCCUGCUUGGAGACCAGACAGUCUCCACAGAGCUGGGCACAUGCCCAAACUCCUAUUCCUCAAAGGGAGUAAAGGUUGUCCCUACUUUGAAACAAGGCCUAGGAUUCUUCUUCCACCUCUUAAUUCUGAAGAGAACAGAGGAAUUCUGUCCCAUCCUGGGCCUCAACAGCUUCAGUGACUACAUGUGGUAUAAGUUUCAGGUGAUAACUCCCAGAUGGUAAUAACUGUGCAGACAUAGAAAGUCUCUUUGGUGUUGCUGAAUAUAAUUGCCUUUUUAGCACAUCAUUGUUGGGGAUGUACACAGGAGUUUUCCCUUUUGUUUGCUGUGUGUUGAUACCCCUUUCAAUACAAACUGCUGCUGUUUGGUCUUUCUUUACCCACAGAGAUUACCAAGAUGUUAAUGAUGGUGGAGGAGGCCUUGCAGAAGAAGGAAUUACAUGUGUUCCUUUUUUUUUGGAUGACUGACUUCUGGUGGGCACAUUGAGAGAACUCCUAAUGGUAUUUCUGAAGUGGAUGCUUCCACUCCUGCAGUCGUGGUAGGAGUCCCAUCUGUUUCAUUGUAAGAGGAUUGCUUUCAUUUGUGUGGAGCUGGGCACUUUUCAGUGUCUGUCAUUCCUGCUAGCAGAGAGAGCACCUUUUUCUCAUGGCAUUGACAACCUGAUUAAAGGUGCAGUGGAGGUACCUAUUCAGAAGCUUCUGCAUCCUUUGGUUGAUGACCAUCAGAGUUUUCUGGUACUUUUCAUAUGCUUGAGGAGGUGGAUGUUGCAGUGGACUGUGAGACUUCAGUGACUUAAUCAAUAUACACUGUUGGAUCUUCUCUUGGUGACAAAACGUUGUAAAGCUCUGGAGUAGUAGACAAGACUCACCCAUCCAGAUGAUGGACAGUUGGCUAGCAGGGUGGAAAGCCCAUCACAGCUUAUUCAUAAUUCAGGGGAAGUGGUGGCCCUGAAGAAGGUGGCUACUUGCCAGAUUCACCAAGUCCCAGUUUGACUUUGCAGGGAAAGGUGCUUCUGGAGCCAUUCCUUGUUGGCCUUCAUAACCAGACUGUCAUGUGAUACCAAAACAAGCAAGGGUAGUUUUUGCCAAGUACUGAGGCAUUAAUGGUCUGGCAAUGGCCCACAGACAAGGGGACAUGCUGUCAAACUACCUGAGCUGCUUCUGUAGUCUUGUCCUAAAACUGAAGGGUUUGUAAGUUGUCCGGUUUUGAUUUUCCCAGAAGUACUGUUUGCCUUUCAGGAGAUUGCACUUUGCAUUCGCUUCCUCUUCUCUCCAGUGUAGCUGUUCAAGGGAAGGUUCCAUUCUAGAGCCAAACCUAUUUUUGUAUGUUGUGAUGUCAUUCCCAUAUUCCACACUAAUCACUAAAUUCAGUGGAAUGAAAAAAGGAAUAUCAAAAUGUAUCCUCACUUCCCUUUGGUGGCAGAGAACAGUGUGGAUUUAGGCUUUCAGUUAAUAUGAGUGACAAAGGUAUGGUUUCAAAUCCGUUAAGGUGCAUUUGUGUUGAGGAUGGGUUUGACAUAAUGUUUAAGGUCUUCACCUCAUAGAUGCAAGUUACAGUUUUGAUUCUGACCUCAGAUUAUUAGCUAGGCUUACAAUAUCAAUUUGGGGCAAUUAGUUUAGUAUUCACAUAGGAACCUAUAUAUUAUCACAGCUGGCCUGACAGUCUGCUGCACUUAAGGUGUGGAUCCUGUUUAUAUGUAAUAUAAUAUAAUAAAAAAAAACUUGGCUCCUGUUAUAGACCCUUUGAGUCAAAUAGACCUUAUGGUAGGGGUGUCAGAAGUUAUCAAAAUUUUCAGGAAGUCUUCCACCAAAUAUAGGUACCCUGGCAAGUGAAAGAAGUUUUCCAUUUUUCCAUUAGAGUAUUGUGUACUUCCCCAUUUGGUCAAUGUACAGGUGAAAGGAGUAUUUCACCUCUGCCCAGCUUUAACCUCUUUCUUGCUUACGACAUGAAUUGUAUAAUUAAUGGACUAUAAUGACCAUCCCUCAAUCCUGAUGUAUCGAUAUCAUUGAAGUUCAUUUCUUGGAAGACCCUUUCUUAAUGCCAUCACAUCUGCUUGCAAGCUUUCAAAGCUUUAGGCCCUUAUUUGUAGGUAACCAUAUCCUGUUUUUCACAGGUAUUAGAAGCCCCAUAGGUUUAACCCACAUGUGCCCGAAUAUAGUGUCAGAAUUGUCCUUAAAUUAAUCCAUUCUUUGUAGGGGCAAAAAAAACAGGAAAGAUCCCUUCACAGCAUGGAUGUACUCAUUUGGAUCAGGUUCUUCCUAAAAUGAGUGAAGGAACUCUGGAAAGGGUGACAGCUGUUUGUUACCUUUGAUUCAAGGGGAGAAGGUAUUUGUUUUGGUAUUUAAGAAACUCUCCAGGUAGUUGCUAACUUCAUUAUCUUCUGUCAUCAGCAAACCAUUAAUUGGAAAAUAAUGCUUUCAGUAGUCACUGUGCUAGAGACAAGACAUAGUUAUUUCCAUUGUUUGAUUCAGGAAUGUCCCCAUUCAUACUUCUGUGCAACAUGACAACCGGGCCACUUGGUUGUAUAUAUUAAGCAUUAUUACUUGAAACAUGGCAAUAGGAGUUGGCCUUUCUUAGUAUCUCUGCCCUUCAGGACUUUCCCUUCUGGGUUUUUUUGCUUGUUGGACAUCUGGUACUUGACUCCCUGUCUUCUUUAUACUACUUUGAGUUCUUCCGAAAUGUAGAUUCACUAAAGAAGAGUCCCAGAUGUCCAAUGAAACAGAUACUUUCUUGAUAUAUCAUUUGAUUUAUGAAAGGAUCUUUCUCACUGGAUCAUGGUUACCUUCCUGUCAUUGAUUUUUGUUUGAGCAGCACCUCUGUCCAAUGUGUGUUUAAAGUUUCCUUCAAGCUAGUUAGGUAUGUAUGUACUGUUAUAUCCUUUUAUAGUGUAGCUGUCAUUACUUCAUUGCUUUGUCUUAAUUUCUAGGAAAUACUUGAUCUGAUGUUGUCAGUCUUCAUUCAUUCUUGGCUGAUGGGUUCGGUUCCGAACUGACUCAGCCAUUAUAUAAAGCUCCUGCCAGCCAAAAACUCUCGAGCUAAGGCCCUACCCAUACUGUCUGUCUUACUGUUACCUCAGAUCUCAUUUGCCGUGUAGAAAAUUGGAUGCAUCAGAUGUUGUUCUCAGCUAAGUGCUCAAAAGUUUUUAUUUUUGCCUAUUAUUCUACCUUAUAUUGUAUAAUAAUAACUGUUUCCCUUUUGUUUGCUAGUGACUUUAUUGAUAUUUCCUUCAAUCGUAUUUACCUCAGGGUAUCUAUUAUUACCAUUGCUGGUAUUGGGCCUCUCCUUCUUGUUUACCAUUGGUAACUCUUUGAUACCAUCAUUGGUAUACUUUUCCUGCCAUUUUCUUCUCUUUUACCCACUCAUUUGGGUAUUUCUUAUGUACCAUAGUUGGUAUUAAAAAAGAAGCCUUUAUAUCUUUCCCCUUUUUCUUUGAGUAAGUGUAUGCAUGUGUGGGCAUGUCAUUGUAUUUGACUGGACAGCAUGGCAGAGAAGCAGAAAGGAACCUCUGGGUUUAAGCAAUGUAAAGAUUGUGGCAGAAAGAUGCCUAGUUCUGAUGGGCAUUUUUCUUGUAUUGUUUGGGUGUCCCUCAUCUAGAAAUUCAACCCCCUUGUGAACUCUGUUAGGGUUUCAGUGCUCGAACUCUUGCAGAGAGACGUAACAAACUGAUACUUAAAGGACUAUUAAAAUGUCCAUUUGGUGAAGCUCAUUCUGAGGCAGAGACGUCAAACUUUCCAAAAAACUGACACUAAAAAAUGGAGCCAUUUGGUACCGUCUUCACCCAAGGUACCUGACUCCAAGUCUCAAAUAUCUCAGGGUAUGACACCUUCUUUAGAACCGAAGGCUAAAGUUGCUGAGAUAUAAUUGGCUUCUGCUCUGGCACCAAAACCAACAAAAUCUGCUAUGGUGCCAUCUUCUAUUGAAAGUACCCAACCAUCCUCUGUACUGACCAUGUCUUCGGCGAUGACGACCUUCCAGGCACCAAUAAUUGUAACUUCUACUAUUUCGGUUCCAUCCUCACCCUCUAUCCAACAGAUUAUGGUGCCAAAGGUCGAUAUUUAAGUACCUCCAGGACUAGAUAUUCCCCUUCAGUAGACCCCUUCUUGGGUCAAAAGCUGAGUCACUUCGUAAAAAGACCUGAAUCUCCUUUGGGGAUGUCAAUCCGUUCCUCCAGGAGUUUAUCACAAAAGAAUAUAGUUAGAUUAGUGGAUCAGCUCUGGACACCCAGAGGCCUCCCUGCACCUUCUCAGAUCUCCCUCCCGGAGCCAAGGCUUACUGUCCCAGAACUCGUACAUAGUACAUAACACUCCACUGAAUAUACUCUGUCUUUUUAAUAUUUCUAGAUUUGUUACCAGUUAAUAGACUUAUGUCAUGCUGUUGCUUGCUAGUAGACUUGUGUUUUGUGUUGAUUAUAUCUUUGUAACUUUUGUAAUAAUUGUUAAUUUUCUGGAGAUUUUCUCCUCUGGUCUCCACUGAAAAUGGGCCCCCUGGCUCAGCUGGACUCACUCAGUUAACAAAUGUCAAUAAGUAAAUAAAUAAUAUAUUCCUUCUUCAACCUCUCCCCAGGUCUUGGAGCUCAUUGCUUCUACACUCCUGGUGCCAGCUGCUUCAGUACUGACUGUGGAUCUCCCCUCACUAUAAGAACUUACUCUGUGGUCUUCAGCUCCAUUGGAACCGUCGCACCCAUGCAACCGAACUCCAAUUUUUUUUCUAUGGCUCUUGGUUCUUUGGCAUUUUCAAGUCCUCUCCCAGCUCCUGCUCUGGAGGGCGGCAUGUUGGAGUGAGGUGCAACCCCAGUUCAGAGGUUGGCAUUUCUUGGUUCCAGGCUCCCAUCCCUCUUCGGGUGAGCCUGCCUUCCAGAUUAUGGAGAGAGCCCUAGCCUCAGCCGGCUGCCAGUUGGUACCAAUCCUUUCGGAUUGCCAUUUUUGUGUUUCCUCUGGUUUGCAGCUGCCACAAUCUGUUACAUUGGGACAGCGGGCGCAAGAGCAGCAAGAUUGGGUGGGAUUUGGCAUAAUGGUUAAGGAGUUUACCUUACAGACAUAAGGUGCAGGGUUUGAUUCUCACAUGGGGUAAUUGGCUAGGCUUUAAAUGGCCCACAAGGGUAGUUAGCCUAGUAAUAAUAUAUGAAUCUAUACCCUAGUGCAGGGUCGCCUCUCUUUGGAGUCCUUCUCGGAUCUUCCUCAUGAGGAGCCACCUCAUAAGAGAUUGUGCAAGAGGAAGCACUUGGAUUCCCCAGAAGUAUCAGUCACUGAAGAUACAGAUUACGAUGAAGGAUAAUGGUCACCCCCUGAAGAUUUCUUCUUUGGAGCCAUCCUGGAAAUAUUAAAACAGAGGGGUGAUUGGAAGUCCUCAAACCCAUCCUCAGAGGAAUCUGUUUUCUUGCAAGCUUUUUGUGCCUGGCUUCUACUUCUUGGGUGACCUCGCCUGCUGAUGAACUAAUCAAACUGAUUAUACAGCGGGCAUGAAAGGCUCCUGACACCAUAGAACCAAUUCCUUGGCGACCGGAUGAGAUUCUUUCAGUGCCUGAGGAUUACACCCAUUGGUCUAAAGGUCUAGCAGUGGAUGCCAUGGUGGUGGUGGUGACCACCAUAAAGGAACUCACCAAAGAGAGUUCAACUGUCCAUCCUCCUAAGAGUUGCUGACAAUGGACAGAUUUAGGAAGCGGGUCUUUGCUUCAUUGACAUGCAGUAUUUGGUCCUUGAACUUUUUGGCACACUUCACUAGACUCCAGGGGGACCUGAUAACUGAGCUUUCAGACACACUUACAGGAGCAGUGUCUAAUGAGGUUCAAGAUAAGGUUGCCUCUCAACUUGCCACCCUUGAGUCUAUCUCAAAUUCGUCCACAUGGCUUAUUGCUCAUACAGCCGAAGGGAAGUCUAGAGCAGUGGGUACAGGCGUUGCCAUUAAGCGUCACACCUAGAUGCGCUUGUGUGAUUUUACAGACCCCUUUAAGUCUUCCUUUGUCAAUGAUCCAGUUGCUGCUUCAUCAUUGUUUGGCCCAAAAGUUACAGACACGUUAGCCAGGUGUGAAAAGGACAGAAAGACCCUUUCUGCUGUGGGCAUGUGUUUUUCCACUCCACAAAGACCUUACUCUAGGAAUCAGAGGAGUGGAAAGAUGUGGUUCAAGAAGACCCAAGGGCCUUUUUGGAACACACAUGGGAGUAUUCUCCCCAGGGCAGAGGGGGGAACUCAUCUGGAAGAUGCCCUUCCCAUGGCAGAGGGGGUCCAUGCAACCAAGGGUUCCAGAGAUUUUCUUCUGGACAACCCUACUAGCCCUCCUGAGUGGUGGCCCAAUUGCUUACCUCUGGAAGCAGUCAGGGAAGAUUCUCUCUGCACCACUCAGCCUCUCUUGCAAUAACAUCGGAUUCCUGGGUGCAGACAAUAAUCACUAGAUGUUAUCGCAUUCCCUUCAGUCUUUUCCCCAAACUCCAAAGGUGAAUCCCUGAUGUUCUGCCCAGUCAGAGGGAUAUAGCAGCACUAGAAAUUCAAAAGCUGCUUCACAAAGAGUCACCCAAGCAGUACCACCAGACCAAAUAGAAUCCAGAUUCUACUCAAGAUUCUUUUUAGUGCCAUAAAAGAUAGGGGACUGGAUACCAAUCCUGGAUCUCAGUGUAAUGAACAAAUUUGUACAACAGACAAAAUUCCGAAUGGUCAUGGCUCAGCCUUUCUAGGGAAGGGUGAUUUGAUGUGCCCUGUAGAUCUUCAGGAUGCGUAUUACCACAUAAAGAUGGGCAAAUGCUCCAUCUCCAUUUUUGGCUAGGAGCCAGUCAUUAUCAACUUCAAGCACUGCCCUUUGGUUUCACCACAGCCCCCAGAGUGUUCACCAAAUGCAUGGCAGUUGUAGCAGCUCACUUAAAGCUACAGGGAUUCUACAUGUUUCCAUAUCUAGACAACUAUCUCCUCACUGUCCCUCUGAGUUCUAUGCUUGCCAAGUUCUUAGGCAUUUCAAUCAGCAACAACAAAAAAAUCACAGCUAUCUUCCACACAGGACCUGGAAAUACGAAAACCUGCGUGGCCUCCCUUCCUCAUCACAGGUUGUUAAAGUUGAGAUCGCAUCUUCAAGUGAUUCCUCUCAAGACAAAGUCCCUGCUCCUCUGGUACUAAAACUUCUCAGAUCCAUGGCAGCAAUAACGUUAGUCCCCCUAGUGAGUUAUCACAUGAGGCUGCUUCAAUGGCUCUUAACGUCAUAAUGGUCACUCUAACUCAUCCCAUGUCUCAUCCAGUCUUAAUAACGGCAAGAUGGAUUCAUCUUGAUGGAUGAAGCCAGAAGCAGAUUUAUGGAGUCCCUUCUCCCCCUCUCAUCCAAAGCCAUAGUGACUACAGACUACGGUCAUUUUCAGGGAAGCCACAGGAGGCCAAUCUGCACAUCAAUGUCCUAGAACUGAGGACAGUGCUUUUAGCAUUGUAAGCAUUCCAGUCUGCCCUUCCAUCUGGGACGGUUGCUAUCCAGUCAGACAACAUGUCAGUAGUCUGGUACAGCAACAACUAUGUCAGGACGCCCUAAGAGUUUGGCAAUGGGCAAUUGCCUCCAACCGCCUUCUAAUAGCAAUGCAAAUUCUGCGGACCUCCAACGUGAUUGCGGACAAACUAAGCAGGUGUAUCCUUCUACCUCAUGAGUGGUCUAUUAAUCCCAACAUAGUGACGAAAAUUUUUUGUCGAUGGGGUCAGCCUUGCUGCGAUUGCCUUUCCCAUAAACCACAUAUGCAGGAGCUGCUUUGCCCUAGUUCCCCCUUGUGGAGAGUCCCUGAGAGAUACACUUCUUGAUUGGCUCCCGGGACUGCUGUAUGCCUUUCCACCAAUUCCUCUAAUUCCCCAAUUUCUAAACAAAGCCCAACGGUUGAGAAGUGAAAUGAUUUUCAUUGCACCUUACUGGCCAAAUUGUCUGUUUUCCCUUUCUCUGGCCUUAUCUGGUUCACCACCCGUGGACUGUGGAUCCAACGCUAGACCUACUACCUCACCCUCAGGGCUUGGUGCAUCCCAGCCUCCAACAUCUCAAGCUGAUGGCUUGGUUUCUCCACUUCCACUGAUUGCCAGGCAGAACAGUUUGCCCCCCCCCCCCCAGUGCAAAAGAUACUUCUGGCUUCUCAUAAACCGUCCACCAGAAAAAUGUACCUUGACAAAUGGAAAAGAUUCUCUAUUUGGUCAGAUGCAAAUGGCUUUGAUCCUUUCUUGGCUCCAGUAGAUAAGGUCCUGGAAUACUUGGCUACUUUAUUUCAAUUGGGAGCCUCAACCUCUACCAUUAGAGUUCAUUUCGUUGCCAUCUUGAAUUUUCAUAAGGGUUUCAACAAUCACUCAUUAAUGUCCCAUCGUCUUUGCAAAUUUUUUCUUAAAGGUGCUCAACAUUUGAAGCCACCUUUCAAAGAUUCAGUAGUGCCUUGGGAUUUGUCCUAAGUCUUGCAAUCCCUAGUUCGUCAGCUUUUUGAGUCCGCAGCCACUUGUGACCAAGUUUUUAUCUUGGAAGACCCUCUUCCUAGUAGCCAUCACAUCUGCUAGAAGAAUUUCAGAGUUACAGGCUUUGUGCAUGAAUCAUACCUACAUCUUCUUCCACACAGAGAGAGAGAGCAUCACUCAGAACCAAUCCUUUCUUCCUUCCUAAAGUAGUAUCAGAGUCCAGUAUUAACCAGACUAUAGACUUACCAGUUUUCUUUCCAAAUUCUUCAAUCAAAGGAGAAUACUGCCUGCAUAUGUUGGAUGUACACAGGAAGUUACAUUUCUGCUUAGAUGGAACAAAAGCCUCUAGAAAAUCAGACCAACGUUUUCUAUCAUUUUCAGACACCAGAUUGGGAAAACUGGUUUCAAAGGUCACUUUGUCAAAAUGGUUAAGAGACUGCAUUACUUUUAUAUACAACCAGAAUAAACUCAAACUUCCAACAAAAGUUGGUGUUAAUUCUAUGAGAUCUGUUACCACUUAAGUGGUCUUCCAUUCCAGACCUAUGGAAGACUUAUGUGCAGCUGCAGCUUGGGCUACCCUCAUACCUUUAUCACUCAUUACAAAUUAGAUAUGAUCUCCAGGGGAAGAGCAUCCUUUGGCACUAGGAUGCUCAGGAGUAUCCUUCCUUAGGGCCACCCAGGAUCUAAAGUAGCUGAGGACUCUGUCCCAUCAGUCAAGAAUGAAUGAAUGGCAACAUCAGAUAAAGAAGUUAUGUUCUUAUUGCAACGUUCCAUCUGUGUUGUCAGUCUUCUUUCAUUUUUGACAUCCCACCCUCCUACAGACUCCUGGAGGUUCAGAACUAGUCCUGGGGUUUUGUAGGGUUGUUGCUCAGACAGAGCUUCCAUAUUUUCUUCGUGGUAGGCAAACUCCAUCGGAGGUAAUGGGAUGAGAGGCAGUAUGGGUAGAGCCUUAGCUCAGGAGUUAUUGGCUGGUGUGAGCUUUGUAUAAUGGCCGAGUCGGUUCCAAGGGUUCAGAACCGAACCCAUCACUCAAGAAUGAGUGAAGAUCAACAACACAGAUGGAACGUUAUGGUAAGAACAUAACUUCUUUUUCAGUGGGUAGGGGUGAACGCAAAGGCUAAAGUGGUAUGCAUAAUGUCCUGCUGAGGCUCAUAUUAGGGCACGCUGAAAUGGACAGUAUUCAUGCCCCCAAAUGAGGGAACAUCAGAGGGGAAAAAAGUAGCCGUCUUGAGAAAAAUGGUGGCUAUCAUACUUCUAGACCAGUUAAGGACAGUCCUGUAAUGUAUAUGUUAUUUACUCUGAUUUAUACACCUUUUAUUAUUUUUUUUUAUUCUGGCUCAAAUACACAAACUAGGACAGUUCCAGACAGUCAGGCAGUAACAUGUGCUUUGCCGUUAGCAGCACUGACAAAAAACAUAUGUACUCUUCUAAAGAGUUUGUGUUUGUUGUAGUAACUUGUUAUUCAGAAUUGAAUAGCUGUGAGUCAGAGCUGUACAUUUUGCAUUCUGAUUACUUAGUGACAUUCUCUCUAAAAACAUGUGGAUCAUUUCAGUUUAGUGCAUCAUAGAAGAAGAGCAGAAAGUCAUUUUUAAAGUAAGAGAGCAGUUAAUUAUCUCUCAGAUGUCUGAAUGAGUGUUUGGCAGACAUCUGAAUCAGUUCCAGUCUUAUAGCUUUAACAAAUCUGUUCAAGGGGCUGAAUUAUUCAGGUAAAAAGAAAAUAAGUCUUGAAAGGGUUGUAAGAAUUAUGUCAGGGCUGUGCUUGUGAAAUUAGAAACUAUGCCUUUAUUAAUAAGAUUCACAUUAAAAGUCAGACUUCAUUAAAAUUUCUCUGUAGAUGUGCAUGGAUAAAUGUAUGCAGCCUGAUGUGCAAAUCAGUUUCCUUAAAGACUAAAAUAUUUUUGUGAUCACCUGUGGUUAUUGUAGUACUUGUAUAUGAAAGUUAAAAGUAUUGGCUUUUGUUAUUUAUAGAGAAUGUAGACAAGUGUUCAUGUCAUACACUGGGAACAGUGUUUUUUAUAUAUUGUGUUUGUUCAUAAGUCUUAAGAGGUUUUAUUGUUUGUAUUAUUGCUUGUGCCUUAUUUCAGUUUUAUGUAAGCAUGAGUAAGUUAUUGAUCUAACUGCUUAAUGCACUUUUCUCAGUGCACUGUAUAAGCAUCUUGAAGGCCUGUUUGCAUAAUGAAGUUCUUUCAUUGCAGUUUUUACAUUUUUAGUUUAGUUUAAUUUUAGUCAAACGACUUCUGUUUUGUUUCCAUUGGGAUAACUUUAUCUAUUCCCUUCUUUUCCAGUUCUGACACCAAUCCCAUGGUGUGGUGUCAUUACUGGAAAAAAAUGUGGAGUAGUCUUUGCUCAAAGCAUAGAAUGUCAGUCUUUCUAAAAUCAGUUCCCUCUGUUACAUUGAUUUGGUUUACAGGGAACAGCAGCAUAAUUAUUGUUUUUUAGUACAUACACAUGGCAUUGUUGAGUAUUUUCUGGUUUUCUUUGAAUGUUUUAUAAGCAUAAUUUUAAAAAAUAAUAAAAGUGCAUGGCAACCACAUUGCCAGAAUUUUUACGUUUGCUGUAUUUUCAGUUUAAAUAAAACAUUAUAAUGAAUACUUAA